rnacentral:rRNA from 1 species
GGGGAAUAUUGCGCAAUGGGCGAAAGCCUGACGCAGCGACGCCGCGUGAGGGAUGAAGGUUCUCGGAUCGUAAACCUCUGUCAGAAGGGAAGAAACCGCACCGUGCUAAUCAGCGGUGCAUUGACGGUACCUUCAAAGGAAGCACCGGCUAACUCCGUGCCAGCAGCCGCGGUAAUACGGAGGGUGCAAGCGUUAAUCGGAAUUACUGGGCGUAAAGCGCACGUAGGCUGCUUUGUAAGUCAGGGGUGAAAUCCCACGGCUCAACCGUGGAAAUGGCUUUGGUUCUGGUUAGGUUUGAAUCCGGGGAAGGGUGGGGGAUUUCAGGUUGAGGGGUGGAAUCCGGAAAAAACUGGGGGGAAAACAGGGGCGAAGGCGGGCAACUGGAACGGUUUUGAAGGUGGAGUGGGAAAGGGUGGGGAAGAAAAA